AUCAGUUGUUCAAGUUUAUUUAUGUUGUUUUGAUACACUGACAGAUCACACCACAUUUUGUUUGUAACUUUUUCUCCUUCAAGAGUCACCUUAGCUUAAGCCAGAAGAUUCUCUUAAAGAACACAUACACACAUGUGCACACACAAGAGGCAAGUACAAAAAUGUAACCCCACCAAAGUGCAUGUGAAUGAAAGUGCAAAAAAGGCUUCAUUUGCAAACUCUGAGAUCAUUCUCUCUGCUUCAGAAAAUAAACAGAAAGGUCCUAACUGCCCUAGGCCUGGGCUGAUCAGGGGCUGGGCGAGGCUGCCAGGGGCCAAAAUAUAAGUGGCAUCUGUUGCUAGGAGGGCAGGUUUGGCAGUGACUCAGUGGAAGCUGGGUUCCUAUGUGGACUGAGAAGUGGAAGUCCCAGAGCCCCAGCAGGGACCCAGCUGGCAGUGCAAGACAGAUGGAGAGCGGCAAGGAGGGCUUCAGGGACCCGGAGAAUUCAGAUAGAAAAGUUCACCUUCCUAACUCCCAAC
ensembl:lncRNA novel transcript